rnacentral:rRNA from 1 species
UACGUAGGGCGCAAGCGUUGUCUGGAAUUAUUGGGCGUAAAGAGCUCGUAGGCGGCCUGUUGCGUCCGCUGUGAAAUCCCGGGGCUCAACCCCGGGCCUGCAGUGGAUACGGGCUGGCUAGAGGCAGGCAGGGGAGAACGGAAUUCCUGGUGUAGCGGUGAAAUGCGCAGAUAUCAGGAGGAACACCGGUGGCGAAGGCGGUUCUCUGGGCCUGUACUGACGCUGAGGAGCGAAAGCGUGGGGAGCGAACAGG